CGGACCAGGCUUCAUUCCCC
rnacentral:ncRNA from 4 species